rnacentral:tRNA from 1 species
GCACCCUUAGCUCAGUUGGCUAGAGCGUCUCAUUGACGUUGAGAAGGUCGCAGGUUCGAGCCCUGCAGGGUGCA